rnacentral:rRNA from 1 species
AGGGAAUCUUCCACAAUGGACGCAAGUCUGAUGGAGCAACGCCGCGUGAGUGAAGAAGGUUUUCGGACCGUAAAGCUCUGUUGUUGGUGAAGAAGGAUAGAGGUAGUAACUGGCCUUUAUUUGACGGUAAUCAACCAGAAAGUCACGGCUAACUACGUGCCAGCAGCCGCGGUAAUCGUAGGUGGCAAACGUUGUCCGGAUUUAUUGGGCGUAAAGCGAGCGCAGGCGGAAGAAUAAGUCUGAUGUGAAAGCCCUCGGCUUAACCGAGGAAUUGCAUCGGAAACUGUUUUCUUGAGUGCAGAAGAGGAGAGUAGAACUCCAUGUGUAGCGGUGGAAUGCGUAGAUAUAUGGAAGAAUACCAGUGGCGAAGGCGGCUCUCUGGUCUGCAACUGACGCUGAGGCUCGAAAGCAUGGGUAGCGAACAGGAUUAGAUACCCUGGUAGUCCAUGCCGUAAACGAUGAGUGCUAAGUGUUGGGAGGCUUCCGCCUCUCAGUGCUGCAGCUAACGCAUUAAGCACUCCGCCUGGGGGAGUACGACCGCAAGGUUGAAAC